UCGAGAAUCUUCGGCAAUGGGCGCAAGCCUGACCGAGCGACGCCGCGUGCGGGAUGAAGGCCUUCGGGUUGUAAACCGCUGUCAGUGGGGAGGAAAUCUGGAAGGGUUCUCUCUUUCAGUUGACCUAUCCGCAGAGGAAGCAUGGGCUAAGUUCGUGCCAGCAGCCGCGGUAAGACGAACCAUGCAAACGUUAUUCGGAAUGACUGGGCUUAAAGCGUGCGUAGGCGGUUCCGAAAGUUGGGUGUGAAAGCCCCCGGCUCAACCGGGGAAUUGCGCCCAAAACUACGGAACUCGAGGGAGAUAGAGGUGGGCGGAACUUCGGGUGGAGCGGUGAAAUGCGUUGAUAUCCGAAGGAACACCAGAGGCGAAAGCGGCCCACUGGAUCUUUUCUGACGCUGAGGCACGAAAGCUAGGGGAGCGAACGG
rnacentral:rRNA from 1 species